GACGAACCGUGCGAACGUUGUUCGGAAUCACUGGGCUUAAAGGGCGCGUAGGCGGCUAUCCAAGCCCGGGGUGAAAUCUUUCGGCCCAACCGGAAAAGGGCCUCGGGGACUGGGUAGCUCGAGGGGGGUAGGGGCAAGCGGAACUUCCGGUGGAGCGGUGAAAUGCGUUGAUAUCGGCAGGAACACCAAAGGCGAAGGCAAUAUGCUGGAACAACUCUGACACUCAGGGACGAAAGCGUGGGGAGCGAAUGGG
rnacentral:rRNA from 1 species